GUGAGGAAUAUUGGACAAUGGGCGCAAGCCUGAUCCAGCCAUGCCGCGUGCAGGAAGACGCAUCUAUGGUGUGUAAACUGCUUUUGUACGGGAAGAAACACUCCCUCGUGAGGGAGCUUGACGGUACCGUAAGAAUAAGGAUCGGCUAACUCCGUGCCAGCAGCCGCGGUCAUACGGAGGAUCCAAGCGUUAUCCGGAAUCAUUGGGUUUAAAGGGUCCGUAGGCGGUUUAAUAAGUCAGUGGUGAAAGCCCAUCGCUCAACGAUGGAACGGCAAUUGAUACUGUUAGACUUGAAUUACAAGGAAGUAACUAGAAUAUGUAGUGUAGCGGUGAAAUGCUUAGAUAUUACAUGGAAUACCAAUUGCGAAGGCAGGUUACUACUUGUGGAUUGACGCUGAUGGACGAAAGCGUGGGGAGCGAACAGGAUUAGAUACCCUAGUAGUCC
rnacentral:rRNA from 1 species